GUCAAUUUGAAACUUUAGGACUAAACGUGGCAAAACCAUUAUACUCGGAAGACCCCAUAUGGCAUUAACUCUAAAAAAGUAUUUCCUAUUA